rnacentral:rRNA from 1 species
UGAGGAAUAUUGGUCAAUGGGCGCAAGCCUGAACCAGCCAUGCCGCGUGCAGGAAGAAGGUCCUAUGGAUUGUAAACUGCUUUUAUUUGGGAAUAAACCUAUUUACGUGUANAUAGCUGAAGGUACCAAAUGAAUAAGCACCGGCUAACUCCGUGCCAGCAGCCGCGGUAAUACAAU